AUUGAACGCUGGCGGAAUGCUUUACACAUGCAAGUCGAACGGCAGCACGGACUUCGGUCUGGUGGCGAGUGGCGAACGGGUGAGUAAUGUAUCGGAACGUGCCCAGUCGUGGGGGAUAACGUAGUGAAAAUUACGCUAAUACCGCAUACGAUCUAUGGAUGAAAGCGGGGGAUCGCAAGACCUCGCGCGAUUGGAGCGGCCGAUAUCAGAUUAGGUAGUUGGUGGGGUAAAGGCCCACCAAGCCAACGAUCUGUAGCUGGUUUGAGAGGAUGACCAGCCACACUGGAACUGAGACACGGUCCAGACUCCUACGGGAGGCAGCAGGGGGGAAUUUUGGACAAUGGGCGAAAGCCUGAUCCAGCCAUGCCGCGUGCAGGAUGAAGGCCUUCGGGUUGUAAACUGCUUUUGUACAGAACGAAAAGGUGUCAACUAAUACUUGGCGCUCAUGACGUUACUGUAAGAAUAAGCACCGGCUAACUACGUGCCAGCCGCCGCCGUAA
rnacentral:rRNA from 1 species